rnacentral:rRNA from 1 species
GAUGAACGCUAGCGGCAGGCUUAAUACAUGCAAGUCGAGGGGCAGCAUGAUUGUAGCAAUACAAUUGAUGGCGACCGGCAAACGGGUGCGGAACACGUACACAACCUUCCAAUAAGUGGGGAAUAGCCCAGAGAAAUUUGGAUUAAUACCCCGUAACAUAACGAUGUGGCAUCACAUUGUUAUUAUAGAUUUUUCGCUUAUUGAUGGGUGUGCGGCUGAUUAGAUAGUUGGCGGGGUAACGGCCCACCAAGUCUACGAUCAGUAGCUGAUGUGAGGGCAUGAUAGACCACACGGGCACUGGGACACGGGCCCGACUCGUACGGGAGGAAGCAGUAAGGAAUAUUGGACAAUGGACGAAAGUGUGAUCCAGCCAUGCCGCGUGAAGGAUUAAGGUCCUCUGGAUUGUAAACUUCUUUUAUAAGGGACGAAAAAAGGCUUUUCUAAGUCGUCUGACGGUACCUUAUGAAUAAGCACCGGCUAACUCCGUGCCAGCAGCCGCGGUAAGAC